rnacentral:lncRNA from 1 species
CUCGAAUAAGUGCUAUCGAUGUGAAAUCCGAGGAAAAGAGCAUUUGGGGGAAAAGGUCUUACUAUGUUUCCCAGGCUGGACUCUAACUCCUGGGCUCAAGUGGUCCUCCCACCUCAGCCUCCUGAGUAGCUGGGACUGUAGAUGCAUGCCGCCAUGACCUGCCAAAAUCAUAUUUUUGAAGCGGGAGUCUCUCCCUGUGGCCACCACAGCUGGCAAAGUGC